rnacentral:lncRNA from 1 species
UUCACAACUUUCUGCCUUUAAAUCUGGUUCCUCUCUUCAGCUUCACCAAGCCACUGAAUGCUUUUCAGUUUUAUUAACCCUCACAUUCCCCAUCCUUCUCAGCAAGAGCCUCUCCUUAUGCCAUCAGCAUGUAUAUACAUUUCCUAGGAAAUUUGAUCUUUCUUGUCAUUCUUUUUUGGUUCCAAUCGGCCUUUUCCUGGUUCUCAAAGCUCUAGUUUCUUCUAAUUUCUGGAUCAUCGCAAGUCUGGCCCUCUUUGAACUUUAAAACAUAAUGUCUAAUUCCACCCCAAUUUUCAGCAUUUCUUCAACUAAAUCGAUAAAGCUGUCUCCAUUAUGAGAAAGGCCAGAAUAAUACUCCGAGUAAGCAUAAGAAAGCUGGUCAUUUUACAACUUCUCCCGACUCUAGGAAGUAAUAUGAUGCCAUUUGUUGAGCAUCUACAGUGUGCCAAGCACAUGGUUCAUCUCUGCAAACUGCUGCUACAUUCUGUAAAGCAAGUAUUAUCCGCAUUUUAGGGAUUAGGAACAGCUUCCUGAUCUCUUGCCAAAAGUCACAGCUAGUGAGUGGUUUAGGCAAGAUACAAACCCUAGUUAGUUAAUCCUUACUCAGAAGUGUAUAGGACUAUGAUACAUUGUCUCAGCUUAAAAAAAAAAAAAAAAAAAAAAGGUAUUUAAUCACCCAGGGUCAUAGUGCCUUCCAUAGUGUGACCAGAUACAACUGUUUUUUCCUUGUAUCCACAAAAGCCAGGUUGUGUCAGAACAACCUUUCUACAGAGUAAUAACCAAUCGAAAAAGAGAAGACUACCUUAUUUAAAUCCACUUAUUCACAGGAGGGAUUAAGGCGGCUGUAACUCAUCCCUUAUCAUCUCCUAAUUUCUCUCCUCCAAAACCUUCCAUUUAUCUCAGCUAAAAUUGUGUCUGAAGGCUGUUUGUACUUAGAGUUACAUUACAAAUAAGGUAGGCAUGGUUUCUAGAGUCCUUUUCUAGUCAAGCAUUUCCUUAUUCGACAAUGUCUUCAGAAUUGCAUUUUAUCUUUUGUAAUUUUCUGUAGCUCCCAUAUUCCAAACAGGAAUUCAUUGACUUGAAAAAGUCAGGUGUGUAAACAGUAAUCCUUUCUUGUUAGGUCUGAAGAGUUCAUGAUUUUUUAUGAAUAUAAACUAAUUUAUUAUUUGCAUUAAUGUAGGAGACAGCAAAGUUAACGGAGAGUCAUAAAACAGAACAAGUAUAAGUUAGGCUUUGGAGCACCUAAGUUCUAAUCUUGACAAUUUUGAGAAUCGUUUGGUACAAAAAUUCUUAAACUGUUUCUGUGCCUUCUCCAUCCAUGAAAUGAGGAUAAUUUUUUUGUGCAAAAUGAAACAAUAGUACUUUGAAAACUUAAGAGAAAAUUCAAGUGUAAAUAAUCAUAAUCUGAAACUCAUUUGUAUGAGGCUGUGAAAGAUUUUACAGACUCUUUCUUUUCAAGUCAGCCUUUGCAAUUAUAUUUUGCCUUUGUUGAAAUGAAAAAUGUUUGCAUCUCCCGUACGCAUACACAAAACCAAUAGAAGAAAGUGGUUGGUAAAAGAUAUAGCUGAAAUGGAAACACUCAUAUGUUAGGUGGAUAAAAUCAUAAGAGAAAAUGGGAAUUGACUGUACUUUCAAAGUACUAAAUUUGAAGUCAUCUUACUCCAAUUUAAGUCAUUAUAUAUAUAUAUAUAUAUUGGCUUUUAAAGAGUUAAAGAGAGAAUCAGAUCUGUCCAGCAGGAUAGAUGGGUGAGGAGAAAAGUACAUAUUUAGGAUUUUUCUCUAAAAGAUCUUUUUCAAGAUUAUGGAGUAUUUUAAUAUUUCUGCAAACUAUUCCAAAUGAAUGCAUUUUAUAUAGGGCAACACAUACUGGCACCUGAUUCUGGUUUAUUCGAGUUCAUAUGUAGGGUUUGUUGGGAAGAAUUAUAUGAUUGGCUUCUUUUUUUAGAGGAAAUAUUUUCCCUUUUUUCUUAUCCAUAUACUAUUCUGAACAGCUUUGCAGAUUUCCUUAAGUUCAUAGCUUGUAAGUAGUUCAUGGUAUAUAGACAUAGUCUUGACUUACAACUGAAAAAAAAUUUAUGUUACAGAAGUUUAUUUUUUCUAUGGAACUGUCUUUAAAAACAAAAAUAUUACAAAUCUUGACCUUGAAAUAUUCUGUUUCCUGUUAUCACAUUCUGGAUAUCUAUUUUGUUUGCAAAUGAAAAUUAUUACUGAUGAUUAGCAACUUGAGCCUGUUAAUAGGAAAUUGCAAAGCCUGAAUACACACACAUUGCCUUAGCCUAUCAGUAGAGUAGAGGACAUAUGUUAAGAAAAUGUGUCUGCUUGUUGCUGUUGUUGGACAAAAUUUUAUGUCUGUGUGUAUGAUUUUUUUUUUUCUAUUUUCUUCAAAGAUGUGAAUUAAAUGAAAGUGUGGGAGCCAGUUAAAUUAUUUUGUAUUAUGGGUGUUCUGGAUCCUUUCACUCCGUAUACCAUUUUCUUGUAAGGGCAGCAUUUGUAGACUUGCUAAUGGACUGUAGAGCUGAGCUAUAUUAAUUUUAUACUUGACUCAGGGGAUCAGUUCUGUGAAUGCCAUUGCACGAAGAAAGCAAAUGUUUGCCUUGAUUUUGAAUGUAUCUUUUUAAUGUCUUCUUAAAACAUAUUUGUUUAAUAAUGUAGAUUUGUUUUUUUUUUUCUAGUAUCAUAGUAAAUAUUGCUUAGUACUUGCCCCCACCCCACUGGGUAGUUUAUAUACUACCCUAUAGGUCAUGCCAAAAAUGAAUAAAAGUUUAAAUGCCAAAAUGUUUAUGAAACUGCUGUCUAAAUACUGAUUGAUUGCACAAUUUAAAUAAAAGCUUUCCUUAGUU